ensembl:lncRNA
AGGAAGUGCUUUGCUUUACAUCUGCCUUUUACAGAGAAGUCCGUGGGCUGAGAUGGAAAAGUCCUUAACUCCCACAUUUGCUGGCUAUGCACCCUUGGUGCGUCACGAAUUCUCUCUGAACUGAUUUCUUUAUCUGGCUUCUGGCAUUUUGCAAGAACUAACUGAGAAAGUAGACGGAAGUUCCUAACCCAAUGCCUGACAUGUAGCAUUUGCUUGUUUUCUCCAUCAGCUGAGCAUCCUUCCUCUGUGGAAAAUAGAGCUUCUGUUCAAGGACCAAACUUCACCAUGACAAACGACUCUGGUUUUAAACCAUUUUCGAGAGAAGGAUUGCACUUACUGCAUGUGAACCUCUGACGGGGGAAGAGUGCCUGGGGACACACCCACCGGAGGCAGCAUUGACGUCUGGGUGACACCGGGGGAGACCACAGGUUCGUGCCUCUGUGCCGGGAAGCCCAGCUGCCUCUUUCUCUGCCUGCAGAAAUAUUGUUAAAGGGAAUGCAGACUGAGCUCCUGGGACACUGUCAGGUACUUCUGACAUGGUUGCUCUGUUUUCUGAACAUUACCACAAGGUACAGAGCGGGGCAGCAAGAAGGGAGUAGCCCGAGGGAAGCAUCUUCUAAACCACGCUCUGAGCUUGCUGUCUCUUGCUCUCUGCCCCCGAUUUCCUCCCAGCAAAGACUGUAUCGGGCUUUUCCUCUCCCGUGAGGAGACUGAGAGCUUUAUUCCCACUGGAAUCAGAUGGGGCCCCACAGAUGGAGCCAGGAGCUGGGUGGAUAAUCUAGUGCCUGCAGAGGAAGAUGAGGUUUGAGGUCACACAGUGAGUGACCUAGAGGCCAGGACACGACUUCAAGUUCAGGACUGCUGGUCCAGUGCUGUGCUCAUAGAUGAGGAUUUCCGAGGACUCAUGGGCAGUCCUUUCUAGACCCUGGGAAUUUAUCAGCAAAACAGAAAAAGAAUCCCUGCUCUUGUGGGGCUCACAGUCCAGCCCACCUUGGUGAUAGUGUGGGUUCAGUUCCAGACCACAGCAAGAAAGCAAAUAUCAUGUGAAAGCGAGUCACACAAAUGUUUUGCUUUCCCAGUGCAUAUAAAAGUUAUGCUUACCCUAUACUGUAAUCUAUUAAGUGUACUGUAGCAUUAUGUCUAAAAAAAGCAAUGUAUAUAACUUCAUUCAAAAAGAGUGCUGUCAGAAAAGUGGUGUCAAAAGACUUGUUCAACACGGGGUUUCAAUUUGUUAAAAAGAAAACGAUAAUAUCUGCAAAGUGCAACAGAACAAGGUAUGCUGAUAAACAAACAAGUGUAAAUACAUCCUCCACAAUGUCUUUCCAGG